UAAGUUUACUUACCUCCUCUCUCUCUCCGCGCACCGACGCAUCCCCCGGAGCACUCCCCACCUCCUCCCUUUUCAGCGCCCACAUCGCGACCCCUGUGGCUACUCCGUUGAGGCGUCGGCUUGACGGAGAUGAAGAAGAUAGCCAGGUGAUGCGGUACUCGGGAGGUGGAAUUGGCGACGAAGGUGGCUCCAUCGAAGAGGGACGAUGUGCUUCGGUGGUCAACGGCGGCUGUGCGGGAUGCAGUAUGGUAUGGAUCGGGCAUCUCGAGGAUGGGCUCUCUUCGCAAGUCCUCCUACACGCCACGGAGGUGUUUGAGGAGUCUGUCCCGGGGCUGCGUGUGAAGCACGUCGACGUCUCCCUCUUGGCAUUGCUCAACACCGCCCUGCCGGCUGGGGUCCUUAUUUUCCAUAGAGGCCUUCCGCAACAGGGUCCAUGAUGCCUGAUUGUUUCCUCUUCGGCUGGAUCGGGUCCAACCACACAAUUAUUGUACUACUCUCUUGAGUGGCAAAUAUUUACUGAGAUGGGAUAAUAGUGCAGGUUGAUGUGUGUAGCACGUGUUAACAAAAUCUCAAUUAUCUGCAUGGUAUAUAUAUCUCUAAUCAUUGUCUUUUCCAGAAUGAAGAGAAGGUAUGAGAAAGAUAAUACUAAUAUUCCCUAUACAUUCGACAUUUAACUUUUAUGAGAUUCUUGGAUUCCUCAAAAUCAUGUCUAUUAGUGUUUCUUCAAUAUAUAUAUGCAUGAUCUUUCCUUUUGAAAUUCUCAUUAUGUACAUGAUUUUUGCUACUGCUGGCCUUGAAUUGGCACUGAUUUGGGCCACCUUGUUGAAUGAUUCGUGCACGCAUGUGUUUCGUUGGUCUUUUGCGAUAUGUGGGGAGCGUAAACUGGAAGAACGUGUGCAGCAGGCAUCGCUGCUGCGCUGGACGACGUUGUGUGAGGCCAUGGCCAUGGACGAUGUGCUGUUGGAGAACGGCGCAGGACUAAGGUAGUCGAUGUGAACGACCACUGGCAUAUACAUUAUUAGUUAUAUGUUUGCCUGGGUAGGAAAGUAACAAUCAAUCCCUCAAAAUAAAAGGAAACUAAUGAUCAAGACCUUAGCUGGCUGAUGGUAACUCCAUUCAUUCUCUUCCUAUUAUUAUUAUUUUAGUUAUUUUUCUAUUCUCAUGGGUAGGUUUCUUCUGUGUUGUUUUGCUUUAGUUUCGUAGUUGUCACUCCCGUGUAUUUCUUUGAUGAGGAGGUGUGGACACGAGGCCUAACUAUCUGGUAUAAAUUGGUUUUCCCACUAUCGCUGUGAGAUUGGAUUGUUGUUCCUUUUCUGCACAUGAUUGUUCCACUUGUGAUUUAUCAUAUAUGAAUUGCUACUUGACAUCCUUUUGAUCCAGCGUGAUUUCUUGCUUGUUCUCAUCUUGUUGACUGCUGGUUGUGUUUGUUCUCUUGCCAAAGGCCGGGACUUUGAGUUGCCUGCAAUGGUGGAGCUCGGGAUGUUGGCAGAUCUGACCGGACUGGUGAGCACUCUGCCCACACCUGCCGAGGUCACCCUGCUCUGUGCCAUGCUCGGUAACUCACCCUCGCUGAUGGUAAUGUUAUGCACAAAAUGCUGAUGAAGUUGUGUACUGAUUCAAUGAACUGAAUUUUAAUGAGCUGAUGGUGAUGAUAUAUUUUUUGUGAACUAAAAAAGUGUAUCCCCAUAUUGCUGCUUUUAGGAAAUGGCGAAUUUACGUAUCCUUAUCAACCUUAUACUAAUACAUGUAUCUGUAUCGGUGCAUUCUUGGAUUUCAUGUAUAAGCCGCUCAAGAGAAAUUUAAAUAAGGUUGUUAUGUUUCAGCAUACUAUACAUACUUUCCCGUAGACAAUGCUGCAAUACUGUCAUGUGAUAACUAGUACUGAUAUAAGGACCCUUAUCUUCAGUGCCAUUUAGAGUAACAGUCUACAAUGCCACAACACUUUGUUGGACCUGUUUUUGGCGUUUCUUCUGCCAGGUAUCUCUAUGAUUUAAGUAGAUAGAAGUUAUUAAUUACACGUUCAUUGUGGUCGACCGACUGUCUCUCUUCUACAAUUGGAAAUCUGUUAUGUUCUGAUGAGAUGCUAUCGUAUGACUAAUAUGUAACUGGUGAGGUUUUAUGUCUCAUAGUUAAACUUUGUUUCAUAUUUUGAAUUGGUUAUUGAACAUUUUUGUUUCCAUGACAGUAGAUCUAUAUCGGGAUUUAUAGCAUAUGCUCUAUGUGCAGCCAUGGGCGGAUCCAGCCCAGCGCCCCGGGCCCCCUUUGUAUACUGUAGCAGUUGCUACAGUAUUUUCCCUACAGCCCACAAAGAAAAUGGGCCUCACGCCCCGGGCCUGGGGCCUAGAUCCGCCACUGUGUGCAGCUGAUGAGUCUUUCAGGGAUGCAAAUUGUGUGCCUUCGGAAAAUCAGAAUUAGGAAAGAAUGGGAUUUAUAGCAUAUAUGCUCUAUGUGCAGCUGAUGAAGCUUUGAGAGAUGAAAAUUGGUUGCCUUCGGAAAAUAAGAAGGAAAGAACGGUACCAAUUGCUUUUAGUGGAAGCUCUUUUCCUUUUUUGUAUUUUUGCCGAGUCGCUGGAUCUAAUUAGAGCUUUUAUCAGGGUGUUUCAAUUGGUGGGGGAAUCGGAAGCAUCUCAGACAUUUUUAAAUGCAUGACUGCUGAUUGCUGAAAAUGUUCAUACCCACAGUCAUUGCAAUUUGUUUUAUUCUCAUUCUUUUAGAGAAUUCUUUAUUUGACACUACCUUAAAAUGUGGUUCCCUAUUUGGCCCUGAAGAAAAUUUUCUUCCUUGUUUGACACA